GGAGGGUGCGAGCGUUAAUCGGAAUUACUGGGCGUAAAGCGCGCGUAGGCGGCUUGAUAAGCCGGUUGUGAAAGCCCCGGGCUCAACCUGGGAACGGCAUUCGGAACUGUCAGGCUAGAGUGCAGGAGAGGAAGGUAGAAUUCCCGGUGUAGCGGUGAAAUGCGUAGAGAUCGGGAGGAAUACCAGUGGCGAAGGCGGCCUUCUGGACUGACACUGACGCUGAGGUGCGAAAGCGUGGGUAGCAAACAGGAUUAGAUACCCUGGUAGUCCACGCCGUAAACGAUGUCGACUAGCCGUUGGGCUCCUUGAGAGCUUUGUGGCGCA
rnacentral:rRNA from 1 species